CAUGCAAGUCGAACGGAGAUUACAGGCGGAAGUUUUCGGAUGGAAGCUUGUAAACUUAGUGGCGGACGGGUGAGUAACACGUGAGCAACCUGCCUAUCAGAGGGGGAUAACGAUUGGAAACGAUCGCUAAUACCGCAUGACAUAGCGGAAUCGCAUGGUUCUGUUAUCAAAGAUUUUAUCGCUGAUAGAUGGGCUCGCGUCCGAUUAGAUAGUUGGUGGGGUAACGGCCUACCAAGUCGACGAUCGGUAGCCGGACUGAGAGGUCGAACGGCCACAUUGGGACUGAGACACGGCCCAGACUCCUACGGGAGGCAGCAGUGGGGGAUAUUGCACAAUGGGGGAAACCCUGAUGCAGCGACGCCGCGUGAGGGAAGACGGUCCUCUGGAUUGUAAACCUCUGUCUUCGGGGACGAAACGAGACGGUACCCGAGGAGGAAGCCACGGCUAACUACGUGCCAGCAGCCGCGGUAAUACGUAGGUGGCAAGCGUUGUCCGGAAUUACUGGGUGUAAAGGGAGCGUAGGCGGGCAGGCAAGUCAGGCGUGAAAUAUAUCGGCUCAACCGGUAACGGCGCUUGAAACUGCAGGUCUUGAGUGAAGUAGAGGUUGGCGGAAUUCCUAGUGUAGCGGUGAAAUGCGUAGAUAUUAGGAGGAACACCAGUGGCGAAGGCGGCCAACUGGGCUUUUACUGACG
rnacentral:rRNA from 1 species